rnacentral:rRNA from 1 species
GAUGAACGCUAGCGGCAGGCCUAAUACAUGCAAGUCGAACGAUAGUAUUAAGCUUGCUUAAUAUGAAAGUGGCGCACGGGUGCGUAACGCGUAUGAAACCUACCUUAAUCAGGGGGAUAGCCUUUCGAAAGAAAGAUUAAUACCGCAUAAUAUCACGAUGGGGCAUCCUGUUGUGAUCAAAUAUUUAUAGGAUUAAGAUGGUCAUGCGUGACAUUAGCUAGUUGGAGAGGUAAUGGCUCACCAAGGCGACGAUGUCUAGGGGAUCUGAGAGGAUGGGCCCCCCACACUGGUACUGAGACACGGACCAGACUCCUACGGGAGGCAGCAGUAAGGAAUAUUGGUCAAUGGGCGGAAGCCUGAACCAGCCAUGCCGCGUGCAGGAAGACGGCC